GUGAAUCAUCGAAUUUUUGAACGCAAAUUGCACUCUCUGGUAUUCCGGAGAGUAUGCCUGUUUGAGGGUCAGUUUAAAUAAAAAUCGGUGCGGUUGCUGCCUUUCGUGGUGACGCACCGGAUGUGGGUCGUCUUGCCUUCGGUUAAGUGACCUAAAUUUUUCAUGAUUUUUUCGGACGGAUUUAAAUGAUUUUACGUACGGUUGCGGUAUUGAAUUCUUGGUUCC
rnacentral:misc_RNA from 1 species